rnacentral:rRNA from 1 species
CCUACGGGCGGCUGCAGUGGGGAAUAUUGCACAAUGGGCGCAAGCCUGAUGCAGCCAUGCCGCGUGUGUGAAGAAGGCCUUCGGGUUGCAAAGCACUUUCAGCGGGGAGGAAGGCGUUAAGGUUAAUAACCUUGUCGAUUGACGUUACCCGCAGAAGAAGCACCGGCUAACUCCGUGCCAGCAGCCGCGGUAAUACGGAGGGUGCAAGCGUUAAUCGGAAUUACUGGGCGUAAAGCGCACGCAGGCGGUCUGUCAAGUCGGAUGUGAAAUCCCCGGGCUCAACCUGGAAACUGCAUUCGAAACUGGCAGGCUAGAGUCUUGUAGAGGGGGGUAGAAUUCCAGGUGUAGCGGUGAAAUGCGUAGAGAUCUGGAGGAAUACCGGUGGCGAAGGCGGCCCCCUGGGCAAAGACUGACGCUCAGGUGCGAAAGCGUGGGGAGCAAACAGGAUUAGAUACCCUUGUAGUC